rnacentral:rRNA from 1 species
GAAACCAACAGGGAUUGCCCCAGUAACGGCGAGUGAAGCGGCAACAGCUCAAAUUUGUAAUCUGGCUCUCGGGCCCGAGUUGUAAUUUGUAGAGGAUGCUUUUGGUGCGGCGCCUUCCGAGUUCCCUGGAACGGGACGCCUUAGAGGGUGAGAGCCCCGUACGGUCGGACACCUAGCCUAUGUAAAGCUCCUUCGACGAGUCGAGUAGUUUGGGAAUGCUGGUCUAAAUGGGAGGUAAAUUUCUUCUAAAGCUAAAUAUUGGCCAGAGACCGAUAGCGCACAAGUAGAGUGAUCGAAAGAUGAAAAGCACUUUGAAAAGAGGGUUAAACAGCACGUGAAAUUGUUGAAAGGGAAGCGUUUGCGACCAGACUUUUUCCUGGCGGAUCAUCCGGCGUUCUCGCCGGUGCACUUCGCCAGGUCAAGGCCAGCAUCGGUUUUCGGAAGGGGACAAAAGCUUGGGGAACGUGGCUCCCUUCGGGAGUGUUAUAGCCCCUUGCAUAAUGCCCCCCUGGGGACCGAGGUUCGCGCAUCUGCAAGGAUGCUGCCGUAAUGGUCGUCAACGACCCGUCUUGAAACACGGACCAAGGAGUCGAACAUUUGUGCAAGUGUUAGGGUGUCAAACCCCUGCGCGUAAUGAAAGUGAACGGAGGUGAGAGCCCUCACGGGUGCAUCAUCGACCGAUCCUGAUGUUUUCGGAUGGAUUUGAGUAAGAGCAUAACUGUUCGGACCCGAAAGAUGGUGAACUAUGCGUGGGUAGGGUGAAGCCAGAGGAAACUCUGGUGGAGGCUCGCAGCGGUUCUGACGUGCAAAUCGAUCGUCAAACCUGCGCAUGGGGGCGAAAGACUUAUCGAACCAUCUAGUAGCU